rnacentral:rRNA from 1 species
AUUGAACGCUGGCGGAAUGCUUUACACAUGCAAGUCGAACGGUAGAGGGGGCAACCCCUUGAGAGUGGCGAACGGGUGAGUAAUAUAUCGGAACGUGCCCAGUCGUGGGGAUAACGUAGCGAAAGUUACGCUAAUACCGCAUACGAUCUAAGGAUGAAAGCGGGGGACUCGCAAGAGCCUCGCGCGAUUGGAGCGGCCGAUAUCAGAUUAGGUAGUUGGUGGGGUAAAGGCUCACCAAGCCAACGAUCUGUAGCUGGUCUGAGAGGACGACCAGCCACACUGGAACUGAGACACGGUCCAGACUCCUACGGGAGGCAGCAGUGGGGAAUUUUGGACAAUGGACGCAAGUCUGAUCCAGCCAUUCCGCGUGCAGGAUGAAGGCCCUCGGGUUGUAAACUGCUUUUGUACGGAACGAAAGGUUUCUAUUAAUACUAGGAGCUCAUGACGGUACCGUAAGGAAUAAGCACCGGCUAACUACGUGCCAG